rnacentral:rRNA from 1 species
GACGAACGCUGGCGGCGUGCUUAACACAUGCAAGUCGAGCGGUAAGGCCCUUUCGGGGGUACGACGAGCGGCGAACGGGUGAGUAACACGUGGGUGACCUGCCCUCAGCUCUGGGAUAAGCCUGGGAAACCGGGUCUAAUACCGGAUAUGACUCCAUGACGCAUGUUGUGGGGUGGAAAGCCUUGUGCGGCUGAGGAUGGGCCCGCGGCCUAUCAGCUUGUUGGUGGGGUGAUGGCCUACCAAGGCGACGACGGGUAGCCGGCCUGAGAGGGCGACCGGCCACACUGGGACUGAGACACGGCCCAGACUCCUACGGGAGGGCAGCAGUGGGGAAUCUUGCGCAAUGGGCGAAAGCCUGACGCAGCGACGCCGCGUGAGGGAUGACGGCCUCGGU